GAUGAACGCUAGCUACAGGCUUAACACAUGCAAGUCGAGGGACCGGCGCACGGGUGAGUAACACGUAUCAAACCUUCCCUUUACUCGGGGAUAGCCUUUCGAAAUAAAGAUUAAUACCAUAUGUAAAGGAUGGGGAUGCGUUCCAUUAGGUUGUUGGUGAUGUAACGGCUCACCAAGCCUUCGAUGGCUAGGGGUUCUGAUAGGAAGGUCCACCACAUUGGAAAUGAGACACGGUCCAAACUCCGAGGGGACGCAGAAGUGAGGAAGAUUGGGCAAUGGGCGUUAGCCUGAACCAGCCAAGUAGCGUGAAGGAUGAAGGCUUAUGGGUCGUAAACUUCUUUUAUAUAAGAAGAUGUAUUAUAUGAAUAAGGAUCGGCUAACUACGUGCCAGCAGCCGCGGUAAUAC
rnacentral:rRNA from 1 species